rnacentral:rRNA from 1 species
GCAUAUCAAUAAGCGGAGGAAAAGAAACCAACCGGGAUUGCCUUAGUAACGGCGAGUGAAGCGGCAAAAGCUCAAAUUUGAAAUCUGGUACCUUCGGUGCCCGAGUUGUAAUUUGGAGAGGGCAACUUUGGGGCCGUUCCUUGUCUAUGUUCCUUGGAACAGGACGUCAUAGAGGGUGAGAAUCCCGUGUGGCGAGGAGUGCGGUUCUUUGUAAAGUGCCUUCGAAGAGUCGAGUUGUUUGGGAAUGCAGCUCUAAGUGGGUGGUAAAUUCCAUCUAAAGCUAAAUAUUGGCGAGAGACCGGUAGCGAACAAGUACAGUGAUGGAAAGAUGAAAAGAACUUUGAAAAGAGAGUGAAAAAGUACGUGAAAUUGUUGAAAGGGAAGGGCAUUUGAUCAGACAUGGUGUUUUGUGCCCUCUGCUCCUUGUGGGUAGGGGAAUCUCGCAUUUCACUGGGCCAGCAUCAGUUUUGGUGGCAGGAUAAAUCCAUAGGAAUGUAGCUUGCCUCGGUAAGUAUUAUAGCCUGUGGGAAUACUGCCAGCUGGGACUGAGGACUGCGACGUAAGUCAAGGAUGCUGGCAUAAUGGUUAUAUGCCGCCCGUCUUGAAACACGGACC